rnacentral:rRNA from 6 species
AGAGUUUGAUCAUGGCUCAGAUUGAACGCUGGCGGCAGGCCUAACACAUGCAAGUCGAACGGUAACAGGAAGCAGCUUGCUGCUUCGCUGACGAGUGGCGGACGGGUGAGUAAUGUCUGGGAAACUGCCUGAUGGAGGGGGAUAACUACUGGAAACGGUGGCUAAUACCGCAUAACGUCGCAAGACCAAAGAGGGGGACCUUCGGGCCUCUUGCCAUCAGAUGUGCCCAGAUGGGAUUAGCUUGUUGGUGAGGUAACGGCUCACCAAGGCGACGAUCCCUAGCUGGUCUGAGAGGAUGACCAGCCACACUGGAACUGAGACACGGUCCAGACUCCUACGGGAGGCAGCAGUGGGGAAUAUUGCACAAUGGGCGCAAGCCUGAUGCAGCCAUGCCGCGUGUAUGAAGAAGGCCUUCGGGUUGUAAAGUACUUUCAGCGGGGAGGAAGGUGUUGUGGUUAAUAACCGCAGCAAUUGACGUUACCCGCAGAAGAAGCACCGGCUAACUCCGUGCCAGCAGCCGCGGUAAUACGGAGGGUGCAAGCGUUAAUCGGAAUUACUGGGCGUAAAGCGCACGCAGGCGGUCUGUCAAGUCGGAUGUGAAAUCCCCGGGCUCAACCUGGGAACUGCAUUCGAAACUGGCAGGCUUGAGUCUUGUAGAGGGGGGUAGAAUUCCAGGUGUAGCGGUGAAAUGCGUAGAGAUCUGGAGGAAUACCGGUGGCGAAGGCGGCCCCCUGGACAAAGACUGACGCUCAGGUGCGAAAGCGUGGGGAGCAAACAGGAUUAGAUACCCUGGUAGUCCACGCCGUAAACGAUGUCUACUUGGAGGUUGUGCCCUUGAGGCGUGGCUUCCGGAGCUAACGCGUUAAGUAGACCGCCUGGGGAGUACGGCCGCAAGGUUAAAACUCAAAUGAAUUGACGGGGGCCCGCACAAGCGGUGGAGCAUGUGGUUUAAUUCGAUGCAACGCGAAGAACCUUACCUGGUCUUGACAUCCACAGAACUUUCCAGAGAUGGAUUGGUGCCUUCGGGAACUGUGAGACAGGUGCUGCAUGGCUGUCGUCAGCUCGUGUUGUGAAAUGUUGGGUUAAGUCCCGCAACGAGCGCAACCCUUAUCCUUUGUUGCCAGCGGUCCGGCCGGGAACUCAAAGGAGACUGCCAGUGAUAAACUGGAGGAAGGUGGGGAUGACGUCAAGUCAUCAUGGCCCUUACGACCAGGGCUACACACGUGCUACAAUGGCGCAUACAAAGAGAAGCGACCUCGCGAGAGCAAGCGGACCUCAUAAAGUGCGUCGUAGUCCGGAUUGGAGUCUGCAACUCGACUCCAUGAAGUCGGAAUCGCUAGUAAUCGUGGAUCAGAAUGCCACGGUGAAUACGUUCCCGGGCCUUGUACACACCGCCCGUCACACCAUGGGAGUGGGUUGCAAAAGAAGUAGGUAGCUUAACCUUCGGGAGGGCGCUUACCACUUUGUGAUUCAUGACUGGGGUGAAGUCGUAACAAGGUAACCGUAGGGGAACCUGCGGUUG